AAUCAACGCUGGCGGCGUGCCUCAGACAUGCAAGUCGAACGCUUAAACUUCACUUCGGGGGAGAUAUAGAGUGGCGCACGGGUGAGUAACACAUAAGUAAUGUACCUAUGGGUGGGGAAUAACUUAGGGAAACUUAAGCUAAUACCGCAUAAUGCAACCGCUCCUUCGGGUGUCGGUUGUUAAAGAUUUAUCGCCUGAAGAGCAGCCUGCGGCAGAUUAGCUAGUUGGUAAGGUAACGGCUUACCAAGGGCAAGAACGGUAGCCGACCUGAGAGGGUGGACGGAGACACUGACACUGAGGGACGGAGCAGACUCGUACUGUAGGCAGUAGGCGGGAACUUUGGGGAACGGGCGAAAGUCUGAGCAAGCAGCGUUGGGUGAAGGAUGAAGUCUUGUGGGAGGUAAACGGCGUAAGAAUAGGAAGAAUAAAUGACGGUACUAUUAGUAAGGUACGGCUAACUACGUG
rnacentral:rRNA from 1 species